CUCCUGCUCCUCACUGAUGCUGUUAUUUCUCCCCACCGGGGCUGGGAAUUGGUUUAUCUUCCAGGUAGCCACCUCAGCAGCCGCCCGCCGCAGCAGCAGGCCCCAGGCAGGUUGCUGUGUGUCUAUUAUUUUUGAUUGCCCGUCUUAUGGGGCAUGAAAUCACUUCUGGGAGGGUGUGAGCUUGGCACUGCCCUCGCUGCCGCUGGAGAGGGAGCAGGAGGCAAGGUCUCCUGAGGGU
rnacentral:lncRNA from 1 species